rnacentral:rRNA from 1 species
CCUACGGGAGGCUGCAGUGAGGAAUAUUGGUCAAUGGGCGCGAGCCUGAACCAGCCAAGUAGCGUGAAGGAUGACUGCCCUACGGGUUGUAAACUUCUUUUAUAAAGGAAUAAAGUGAGGCACGUGUGCCUUUUUGUAUGUACUUUAUGAAUAAGGAUCGGCUAACUCCGUGCCAGCAGCCUCGGUACUCCGGAGGAUCGGAGCGUUAUCCGGAUUUAUUGGGUUUAAAGGGAGCGUAGAUGGGUUGUUAAGUUAGUUGUGAAAGUUGAUGGGUCAACCGGAACAUUGCAAUUGAUACUGGCAGUCUUGAGUACAGGUGAGGUAGGCGGAA